rnacentral:rRNA from 1 species
GGGUCUGUAGGUGGUUUGUUAAGUCAGAUGUGAAAGCCCAGGGCUCCACCUUGGAACUGCAUUUGAUACUGGCAAACUAGAGUAUGGUAGAGGAAUGGGGAAUUUCUGGUGUAGCGGUGAAAUGCGUAGAGAUCAGAAGGAACACCAAUGGCGAAGGCAACAUUCUGGACCAAUACUGACACUGAGGGACGAAAGCGUGGGGAUCAAACAGGAUUAGAUACCCUGGUAGUCCACGCUGUAAACGAUGAGUACUAGCUGUUGGAUUCGGUGUAAAGGAUCUAGUGGCGUAGCUAACGCGUUAAGUACUCCGCCUGGGGACUACGGCCGCAAGGCUAAAACUCAAAGGAAUUGACGGGGACCCGCACAAGCGGUGGAGCAUGUGGUUUAAUUCGAUGCAACGCGAAGAACCUUACCUGGUCUUGACAUCCUGCGAACUUUCUAGAGAUAGAUUGGUGCCUUCGGGAACGCAGUGACAGGUGCUGCACGGCUGUCGUCAGCUCGUGUUGUGAAAUGUUGGGUUAAGUCCCGCAACGAGCGCAACCCCUAUUGAUAGUUACCAUCAUUAAGUUGGGUACUCUAUUGAGACUGCCGCUGACAAGGCGGAGGAAGGUGGGGACGACGUCAAGUCAUCAUGGCCCUUACGACCAGGGCUACACACGUGCUACAAUGGGUAUUACAGAGGGCAGCGAAGUAGCGAUAUGGAGCGAAACUCAGAAAGGUACUCUUAGUCCGGAUUGCAGUCUGCAACUCGACUGCAUGAAGUCGGAAUCGCUAGUAAUCGCAGGUCAGAAUACUGCGGUGAAUACGUUCCCGGGUCUUGUACACACCGCCCGUCACACCAUGGGAGUG